rnacentral:rRNA from 1 species
UUAAGCGAUUAAGCGUACACGGUGGAUGCCCUGGCAGUCAGAGGCGAUGAAGGACGUGCUAAUCUGCGAUAAGCGUCGGUGAGGUGAUAUGAACCGUUAUAACCGGCGAUUUCCGAAUGGGGAAACCCAGUGUGUUUCGACACACUAUCAUUAACUGAAUCCAUAGGUUAAUGAGGCGAACCGGGGGAACUGAAACAUCUAAGUACCCCGAGGAAAAGAAAUCAACCGAGAUUCCCCCAGUAGCGGCGAGCGAACGGGGAGGAGCCCAGAGCCUGAAUCAGUGUGUGUGUUAGUGGAAGCGUCUGGAAAGGCGUGCGAUACAGGGUGACAGCCCCGUACACAAAAAUGCACAUAUUGUGAGCUCGAUGAGUAGGGCGGGACACGUGGUAUCCUGUCUGAAUAUGGGGGGACCAUCCUCCAAGGCUAAAUACUCCUGACUGACCGAUAGUGAACCAGUACCGUGAGGGAAAGGCGAAAAGAACCCCGGCGAGGGGAGUGAAAAAGAACCUGAAACCGUGUACGUACAAGCAGUGGGAGCCUCUUAAUGGGGUGACUGCGUACCUUUUGUAUAAUGGGUCAGCGACUUAUAUUCUGUAGCAAGGUUAACCGAAUAGGGGAGCCGAAGGGAAACCGAGUCUUAACUGGGCGUUAAGUUGCAGGGUAUAGACCCGAAACCCGGUGAUCUAGCCAUGGGCAGGUUGAAGGUUGGGUAACACUAACUGGAGGACCGAACCGACUAAUGUUGAAAAAUUAGCGGAUGACUUGUGGCUGGGGGUGAAAGGCCAAUCAAACCGGGAGAUAGCUGGUUCUCCCCGAAAGCUAUUUAGGUAGCGCCUCGUGAAUUCAUCUCCGGGGGUAGAGCACUGUUUCGGCAAGGGGGUCAUCCCGACUUACCAACCCGAUGCAAACUGCGAAUACCGGAGAAUGUUAUCACGGGAGACACACGGCGGGUGCUAACGUCCGUCGUGAAGAGGGAAACAACCCAGACCGCCAGCUAAGGUCCCAAAGUCAUGGUUAAGUGGGAAACGAUGUGGGAAGGCCCAGACAGCCAGGAUGUUGGCUUAGAAGCAGCCAUCAUUUAAAGAAAGCGUAAUAGCUCACUGGUCGAGUCGGCCUGCGCGGAAGAUGUAACGGGGCUAAACCAUGCACCGAAGCUGCGGCAGCGACACUAUGUGUUGUUGGGUAGGGGAGCGUUCUGUAAGCCUGUGAAGGUGGCCUGUGAGGGUUGCUGGAGGUAUCAGAAGUGCGAAUGCUGACAUAAGUAACGAUAAAGCGGGUGAAAAGCCCGCUCGCCGGAAGACCAAGGGUUCCUGUCCAACGUUAAUCGGGGCAGGGUGAGUCGACCCCUAAGGCGAGGCCGAAAGGCGUAGUCGAUGGGAAACAGGUUAAUAUUCCUGUACUUGGUGUUACUGCGAAGGGGGGACGGAGAAGGCUAUGUUGGCCGGGCGACGGUUGUCCCGGUUUAAGCGUGUAGGCUGGUUUUCCAGGCAAAUCCGGAAAACCAAGGCUGAGGCGUGAUGACGAGGCACUACGGUGCUGAAGUGACAAAUGCCCUGCUUCCAGGAAAAGCCUCUAAGCAUCAGGUAACAUCAAAUCGUACCCCAAACCGACACAGGUGGUCAGGUAGAGAAUACCAAGGCGCUUGAGAGAACUCGGGUGAAGGAACUAGGCAAAAUGGUGCCGUAACUUCGGGAGAAGGCACGCUGAUAUGUAGGUGAAGCGACUUGCUCGUGGAGCUGAAAUCAGUCGAAGAUACCAGCUGGCUGCAACUGUUUAUUAAAAACACAGCACUGUGCAAACACGAAAGUGGACGUAUACGGUGUGACGCCUGCCCGGUGCCGGAAGGUUAAUUGAUGGGGUUAGCGGUAACGCGAAGCUCUUGAUCGAAGCCCCGGUAAACGGCGGCCGUAACUAUAACGGUCCUAAGGUAGCGAAAUUCCUUGUCGGGUAAGUUCCGACCUGCACGAAUGGCGUAAUGAUGGCCAGGCUGUCUCCACCCGAGACUCAGUGAAAUUGAACUCGCUGUGAAGAUGCAGUGUACCCGCGGCAAGACGGAAAGACCCCGUGAACCUUUACUAUAGCUUGACACUGAACAUUGAGCCUUGAUGUGUAGGAUAGGUGGGAGGCUUUGAAGUGUGGACGCCAGUCUGCAUGGAGCCGACCUUGAAAUACCACCCUUUAAUGUUUGAUGUUCUAACGUUGGCCCGUAAUCCGGGUUGCGGACAGUGUCUGGUGGGUAGUUUGACUGGGGCGGUCUCCUCCUAAAGAGUAACGGAGGAGCACGAAGGUUGGCUAAUCCUGGUCGGACAUCAGGAGGUUAGUGCAAUGGCAUAAGCCAGCUUGACUGCGAGCGUGACGGCGCGAGCAGGUGCGAAAGCAGGUCAUAGUGAUCCGGUGGUUCUGAAUGGAAGGGCCAUCGCUCAACGGAUAAAAGGUACUCCGGGGAUAACAGGCUGAUACCGCCCAAGAGUUCAUAUCGACGGCGGUGUUUGGCACCUCGAUGUCGGCUCAUCACAUCCUGGGGCUGAAGUAGGUCCCAAGGGUAUGGCUGUUCGCCAUUUAAAGUGGUACGCGAGCUGGGUUUAGAACGUCGUGAGACAGUUCGGUCCCUAUCUGCCGUGGGCGCUGGAGAACUGAGGGGGGCUGCUCCUAGUACGAGAGGACCGGAGUGGACGCAUCACUGGUGUUCGGGUUGUCAUGCCAAUGGCACUGCCCGGUAGCUAAAUGCGGAAGAGAUAAGUGCUGAAAGCAUCUAAGCACGAAACUUGCCCCGAGAUGAGUUCUCCCUGACUCCUUGAGAGUCCUGAAGGAACGUUGAAGACGACGACGUUGAUAGGCCGGGUGUGUAAGCGCAGCGAUGCGUUGAGCUAACCGGUACUAAUGAACCGUGAGGCUUAACCUU